rnacentral:lncRNA from 1 species
GUACGACCCGCUGGACAGAGAGUGAAAACCCGAUCUCAGGACCAAGGAGAUGUCUAGGAUAUGAGCCUGGACUCUGUUACACCGCUCAUUGGGAGUCACAGCCUUACAACGUGCCAAAGACUUCACUGAUGCAACUACUCUCUCUCCUCCGAGUGCAGCUUCCUAAACUUCUGGCUAUUCCGUGACUGGAGCAUGAGGCAGAGUUAUCAUCGUGAGUGUUCUAUUCCAGAGUUUCUUUAUUCUUCUAUGUUCGAUGUGAACAUGAUCGGUUGUGUGUGUGUGUGUGUGUGUGUGUGUGUGUGUAAGAAAUCUAAUGAUAAUGAAUGUGCCUUAAGUGAAAAGACUGAUUUUCGUGGUGAUCGCAAUUAGGAAAGCAUAAGAUAGAAAUGGCAGAGCUUCACUUUAAUCUAUCGGCCAUACGGCUGACCUGCCCCAACUUAUCACAAAGAAAGAUCAACGAUGUUUAAAGAGAUAAGACUGUCUGUCAGUGUGCACGUGGAUAAAAGUAAACAAGCACCUCAAGUGGUCAAAUACUUAAUUAGAACUGUGUGUGUGUGUAUAUAUUUAUACACACAUACACACAUACACACACACACACAAAUAAAUAUGUAUUCACAUAUUGGUAGAUACACGUGACACUGAAUAUCUGUACAAGUUGUCUACCUCUUGUAGUGUUACCUUAGUGCUGAGAGGGGAUUGGCCAGUUGUUGCUUUAUAUACCCCAAACAUACCACUAUCCUCUCUUACCCAGGGUUUCACUGUAGCAUAUAUCCAAUUAAUACUUCAAGUAAUUAUGAAAUGUACAAAGGUGCGAUAAUCUGGAUCCCUUUCAGUCCAGUGACAGAAAUGUAUCAAUGUCAUUGUUAAAACCUUUGCAUUCAAUGUGACAGAUACUUUACAUGUUUGUGUAGAAAACAAGGACUAUAGAUAUCUCCAUCUCAUCACAGUUUAGUACAACAACCUACUUCUCUAGGUUCUAGGAGCUAAAACAUAGUAUCUGGCACUGACUUGGUUAAAAUAAAAAUCAACAGUUUAGUUUUGCCAAGCAUCAUAAUUGAUGGCCUUUAAUGUUGAUGUUUUGAGCGUAGAGCGUAAAACACAUAUAUCCUUUUAUUUCUAGACCUCUUUUUAUUGAAUUCAUAAAGCAUAUCACGUUUCAAGCCAUAGAUACUGGCUGGAAUAGACCUGUCUCUGGGGUUUACAUUUAGUGAUAGCUGGAAAGCAGUCAGUGAUAGUAGGGCUGAUACCUUGCUAUGACUCUCCUACCCCCUUUGUAUUCCUGUCAGCUGGGAGGAAGUGUACACUGGAUUACAGAGCACUGUGUUAUCUCCAACCCAGGGGUUGAAAUGAUUUCACAAACAUGCAUACAUAUGGAAAUCAGGAGAAGCGUAUUGCUACUGCAUAUAGAAAAACAAAUACAAAUCAAGUAUGACAUUUUCAUUUUUGAAUCUCUUAAAACACAAACAUGAAUUCUCAUAUUUUUUUCUGUAUUUGUGUUUUGGCUUCACAGCUUGAUUAAUACAGAAAGCGAGACCUGUAGCCGCCUGUUUUC